GCGGGGAGCAAGCAGAGGAGGAACCAGAGGUCUAACACAGUCAGCAGGCAGUCAUGGACUCCUUAGGCAGCAGCUGGCUCCCCACCCAGACACUGAUUCUCCAAAUCAGUCUCAUUUUUGGCUUAUCUAGUCCUUCACCAGAUUCUCAAGCUGUCAAAUACCCCAGCUCUUCCUGCACAUUGAAAAGGACUGUUGGGACAUCUGUCCAGCUGACACUGACCACCCCUUUGUAUCCUAACAUCCGAGAGAUUGAAUGGAAUUGGAAACCUGAGAAUGAUGAGAAAACACAGCUUCUAGUGUCCUGGAAGCCUCAGACCCCUAAUCCUGACUGGUAUGAACUUGAAGAAAUAUACAAGCACAGACUCGACCUAACAGAGAUGGCUUUCUUGAGCAUCAGGAAUCUCACCAUGGAAAUGAGUGGACUAUAUACAGCAAAAAUCAAAUUCAACUCAGGAAAAUCGAAUGAGGAAGAAUUUAGACUCUGUUUAUAUGAUCCCAUCCCACACCCCCAGAUCCAGAUUCUUUCAUCAUCUAACACAUCAGGCUGGUGCAACAUCAGUCUAGAAUGUGAGAUCCCAGGAAACGCAGGGAACCUGACAGUGACCUGGCUAAGCCAGGGCCUCCCCAGGCACCUGGAGCAGAGAGGGAUACUCCCCAACUCCAGGAACCUAAGCCUGAGCCUGCCUAUCAGCCACAUCAACAGUCACCUCACCUGCUUGAUUAGCAACCCUGCAGAAGAGAAGAAUGCAACCUUACACCUGGAAGACAUCUGUCCCUGGAGGGGUUCUCUUCAGAGAAAAUGGCUUUGGCUUGGCAUCCUUCUCAUGGUCCUGAUGGUGAGCCUAGGGGCCGGAGUGUGGAUCUGGAUGAGAAAGAAGAUGCAGACCAGGAGAGGCAGGUGGGUCCACUCUCCUGCCAGAGGCUUCAGGCUUGAAAGCUACUCCCCAGGCCCUUCCUACAGAGGAAUCUACUAACCUUCAGACUGGUGUGACCAACAGCCUAGACUCUCCCUACGAAGAGAUCAGCUUCCAGAGACAUCUUAAGGUACAUGUUUUGAUGCCCUCCCAUCGGUGAGGUGUUCCUAGGAGGGCAUCUCAUGUUGGCUACUGACCCUUGGUUGGAAAUUGGUACUACAGUCACAGAUGGAAUGAUUUCACCAGCGGGGAAGAACUGAAGACAGCAAUUACAGGAGGAAAAGAGGACAUCUAAGGGACUUUCCAGAGCAAUGAUUCUCAAAUAGAACUUGCAUCAGGAACACCUGAAGGGCUUGGUAAAAAUUAAGUUUUCUGGGCCCACUCCAGGAGUUUUUGAUUCAGUAGGUCUAAGGCAGCCCUGAGACCUUGUAUUUCUAACAAAUUCCCAAGUGAUACUGAUCCCAAGUGAUCCUGGUCCCACAUUGAGAACCACUAGACUAAAAGGGUGAGCAGAAGAGAAGCAGGGUUGCCCAGGAGUACCCAAUGGCCAGGUCCUCUCCUCUCUCAUCCUUUGACUUCCCCAAAGAGGGGACAAUGCUAGAUGAUUGAGUCACAAAGCAUCAGGAUCUAGUCCAGUCCCAGCAGGUUAUAGUAGGGGAAAGUGAGACAUAGAAGGAAUACUUGGACUUAUCAGAGAACUAUGCAAACGAGGCAGAAUAGGGAUGUCUUCGUUCCCAGCCUAGUCUUCCACACACUGUCCCCAACUGCCUCAAUGCCCUCCACAUUGUGACUUCCCAUGUCAGUCCCUCUGGGUUACAUCCUUACCUAACCUGGGCCUCGGGGAACUUAGGAAAUUGUUCUUUGUGACCCAAACCCUAAUACCCCUGCAGAGAAGCACAGGAGGGGAACAAUGAGUGACUUUGGCAUAGAGAAACAGAUGAGGCAACAUCUGACCCAGACAUGCAGCCCCAUGCCGAAGCCCCUGACACCUCAGUUUCUGCCCUUGGGGAGCUCCCAGUCUGGUGGAGAAAAUAAACUCCCUUCAAGGAGACAGGAAGCUAAGUGCAAAAAAGAUGAGGGUGACAUAAAGAAGAGUCUGGAGAAAUGGAUAUGAGGCUCUGACACAGAUUUCUUUUUCUUUUUUAAUGAAGUAUAGUUGACUUACAAUGUUGGGUUAGUUUCUGGUGUACAGCAAAGUUAUUCAGUUUUAGAUAGAUAGACAUAUACUUUUCCAUAUUCUCUUCCAUUAUGGUUUGUUACAGGGUAUUGAACAUAGUUCCCUAUACUGUACAGUAGAACCUUGUUGUUUAUCCCAUCUAUAUAUAGUAUUUUAUGUCUACUAAUCCCAAACUCCUAAUUUAUCUCUCCUCACCCCCUCUUCCCCCUUAGUAACCAUACAUUUAUUUUCUAUGUUUGUGAGUCUGUUUUUGUUUCAUAAAAUGAGUUUGUGACACAGACUUCUUGAUCAACUCUAGAAAAUCACUUCCCUCCCUCUGCCUCAGUCUAUUCUUUUAUAAAAUGAGGAUUACAGUAAUAAUAGCUUACAUUUACUUGACACUUUUAAGCUUUCCACAGCAACUUUGAGAGCAAAGUGAUUUACAAAUUAAAGUUCAUCAAAUAUCUGUUGAGCACCUACUGUGUUCCCUGAAUUCUUUUUAAUCUGAGCUAUGAAAGUCUACAAAGUAAGAAAAGUCCUUGGUCUCAUAGAAUAUUCUAGGUUGAGGGGAUGGAGAGUGACAAAUCAAUAAGCAAACCAUCAAGUUCUGGGUGAUGAUAAGUGUUAGGAGAAAAUAAAGCAGAAAAGAGAGGUGGGGUAGGUAGUGUCUGAUUUUAACUAAGGCUGUCAGGGGAAAACUCACCAAGAAGAGAGACCCUGAAAGAAAUGAGGGGGUGAGCAAAAUGGAGGUCUUGGACUGGGGAGAGAGGUAGUAUCUUGGGUAGAAGACAGAGCAAGUGCAAAGAUCCUACAAUGUUCAAGAGAGAGUCUGUGCUGAAGCUGUAUUUGGGGGAGUUAUCAGGCUUGAGAGCCAGAACUACCUGGUUGAAGACAAGAAGCUCAUAAAGAGAUGUAGCUUGACUGAUCCUUCUACUUGAUGCUUAGAAAUUGAUCAAGACCACUCCUAAACUCUGCUUGAAUUGUAGAAAGACUUGGAGAAGGGCAACUGCCACACAGAUAACCCUGAGUGUACUUUGGCCAUCCAUACUGUCUACGAGAAGAUCCGGACAAGUCCAGAACCCCAGGGUGAUGCUUAGACCAUGAUAAAACCAGAGCAUGAGGGGGACCUUGGCAAGGUCUGCCCCAUCCCUUUACCCCUUUACCCUUGGGCCCCCAAAGAUCCCUCCUUAAGGUGGAUCUGGGACUAGAGCCUAGGUCUUCCUGACCAAUCUCACUGAGCUGCUUCCCCAAAUUCCCACAAAAUUUUUCUCACAUCAUAGAUGGUAGGUGGUGGCACUGCCAGUUAAAUAACCAAAUAUGAGAAGCAAAGCCUUCAGCCUUCAGCCACACUUUGGACCUGUGAACCUAUUAACCCUAUUAGGGUUUACUCAUUGUCAGGCAAGACCUGCACAGGGAUAGUAGGGGGAAAGAGAUGAUUUAUCUGAAUAGGGAGGAACCUGGGGCCCCUGAGAAGGAUGGGCCUUGUGGGGAAGACCUUCAGGGUUUCACAGUCAGCUCACCACUAUGAAUAGUGAAAAGAAUGCCCCUUGACUAUUAUAAAAAAGAGGCCUGUAGAUACAAGAUUCAAGGUCAGCUGUAUUGUAGAGGGGAGUGGUGGAAAGAAAAGUAAACUGUUUUGUUUUGUUUUUUAGCUCUGUUAUAUACUAGAAUUAAUUAUAGACACAGGAAAUGUACUAUCUAGGUUCUCAAAGUUCAAUUCACAUACUCUUAUAGUUUCAUUAAAUUAUACAUGCUUGCACAAAAGUCAAAAGGCAUAUCUUAUUGAAAUACUAAUUCUUCAUCAUUUUGUUGUUAUUAAAAAUAGGGUCUUGUUCCCCUGUGUAUUCUAAUUUUAUUAAGAUAACACAUAUGAACCAUAUAUUAAGCCAUGUUACUCAAUGUCUCUACUGUUUGUAACAGUUUUUCAUUUGAUCCCUUUGAAUUUAGGGAGAAAUAAAAAUGUUAACAAGUGAUUAUAA